AAUGAACGCUGGCGGCGCGCCUAAUACAUGCAAGUCGAGCGAGAAGACGUAGCAAUACGUUUGUAAAGCGGCGAACGGGUGAGGAAUACAUGGGUAACCUACCCUCGAGUGGGGAAUAACUAGCCGAAAGGUUAGCUAAUACCGCGUACGCUUCUUGGACUUCGGUUCAGGGAGGAAAGCGAUGCCGAGGGUAUCGCGCUCUUGGAUGGGCUCAUGUCCUAUCAGCUUGUUGGGAGGUAACGGCUCACCAAGGCUUCGACGGGUAGCUGGUCUGAGAGGACGAUCAGCCGCACUGGCACUGCGACACGGGCCAAACUCCUACGGGAGGCAGCAGUGGGGAAUAUUGGACAAUGGGCGAAAGCCUGAUCCAGCCAUGCCGCGUGAGUGAUGAAGGCCUUAGGGUUGUAAAGCUCUUUUACCCGGGAAGAUAAUGACGGUACCGGGAGAAUAAGCCCGGCUAACUUCGUG
rnacentral:rRNA from 1 species